rnacentral:rRNA from 1 species
ACGGAGGGGGCUAGCGUUGUUCGGAAUUACUGGGCGUAAAGCGCGCGUGGGCGGCUUUGUAAGUCAGAGGUGAAAUCCCGGGGCUCAACUCCGGAACUGCCUUUGAAACUGCAUCGCUUGAAUCCGGGAGAGGUGAGUGGAAUUCCGAGUGUAGAGGUGAAAUUCGUAGAUAUUCGGAAGAACACCAGUGGCGAAGGCGGCUCACUGGACCGGUAAUGACGCUGAGGUGCGAAAGCGUGGGGAGCAAACAGGA